GACGAACGCUGGCGGCGUGCUUUAGGCAUGCAAGUCGAACGCGAAAGCCCCUUCGGGGGUGAGUAGAGUGGCGAACGGGUGAGUAACACGUGGGUAACCUGCCCCUCGCAGGGGGAUAACCGGGGGAAACCCCGGCUAAUACCCCGUACGCUUGCUGGGGCGCAUGCUCCGGCAAGGAAAGGUAGCUUCGGCCAUCCGGCGAGGGAGGGGCCCGCGGCCCAUUAGCUAGUUGGUGGGGUAACGGCCCACCAAGGCGACGAUGGGUAGCUGGCCUGAGAGGGUGGUCAGCCACACUGGGAAUGAGACACGGCCCAGGCUCCUACGGGAGGCAGCAGCAAGGAAUCUUGCGCAAUGGGCGAAAGCCUGACGCAGCAACGCCGCGUGGGGGAUGAAGGCCUUCGGGUCGUAAAGCCCUGUUGUCGGGGACGAAGGGCGAAGGGUUAAUAGCCCCUAGCCUGACGGUACCCGACGAGGAAGCCCCGGCUAACUACGUG
rnacentral:rRNA from 1 species